UGCGAAGGCCGGAUGAUCGCUCGAUGCGAGAGUAUCGGGAGGAAAGUCCGGACUCCAAGGGCAGGGCGCUGGGUAAUUCCCAGGCGGAGCGAUCCGACACCAGCACCACAGAAAGCAAACCGCCGAUGGCCGAGGCGACGGGGGUGUACCCGGUCGCUGCGGCUCAGGCAAGGGUGAAAGGGUGGGGUAAGAGCCCACCGCGGUGGUGGCGACAUCACCGGCAGGGUAAGCGUCGCCCGGUGCAAGGCCAAAUAGGAAGAGCCGCGCGGGACGCUCCAGGGCGUUUCGCGCACCGACCGGCCCGGUCGAGAUCUUCGGGUAGGCCGCUUGAGGUUCGAGGCAACUCGAAUCCCAGAGAAAUGAUCAUCGCCGUUCGAGUGAGCAAGCUCGAAUGGACACAGAAUCCGGCUUAUAGGCCUUCACAUUUG
rfam:Candidatus Nitrospira inopinata isolate ENR4 genome assembly, chromosome: 1